UCUCUUAGAUGUGAAUCCUCAUGAACUGGUUGAAAAUGUAUAUUUUAAACUGAAUCUUCAUCAAAUUGCAAUGUAAGUACUAAAGAAGCACCAGAUUAGUCUUUCUCCAUAGAAUUCAAUGGUAAAGUUUGAUGCUAACCGGACUAGCUAACACUAUUCCGCUACUCACUAUCUGUCAAAAAUCUCAAGCCACUUCCUGCCUUUUUGGAGUCGUUGUGUAGGGACCUUUUUUCUGAGCAAACCCGAUAGCUACAGGGUACCACCACGAUCACGUUUUAAUCUUCUAAUCGCACCUCUUAGCCUCAAAAAUACUGAAACAAACUUCUAAUUUUCUAAUGCACUGUUUUGAAUGCUGCACACAACCUUAGAAAUAAUCCAACAUAUUUUAAAAUAGUAACCAAUAUUUAUCAUGUUUUGGACGAUGUUAUAAUAAUUGACAAAAACAAAAAGUGGAAUUUUACUGUGAAAAUUGUAGCGCAGAGCCGUAUACGUAGCAUGGUUUUUGAGGGCGAAACGUGCAUGCAGUCGACCGAUCAUGGCUUGAAAAUGUUUGAAAUAAUACAUGAAUAAUAAAAAAGGGCGACGUCACGUAACUUUCAGCGACACCCUUUCACAAUAAAACACCGGUGCUUUUCAUACAUUAAUGAAUGGACUCAAAUGGACCUGUUAUGGAGCUUUUAUUUUGAAACUCCUCCAAUAAUAAUUUCCUUUUGUUUUUGAGGUCCGUGCCUUCUGUUUUAGCUGCCAUCAAUUGUAACCUUUUAUUGUGAAGGUGUACCUACCUACUUAACCUACCUAACUUCCUACUGCUCUUAUUUUGAAGGCCAAAUCUACUGGACAGUGUUACCAAAUGGCAUAUUUUUAAACUCCUUAACAAUGCUUCGUUUUUACAUUUUUACGACUGUCUGAGGAAAUGGCUGCAGUUCUUUUGUAUAUCUCCACACUUUGUUGUUUACAGUUUUGUGCACCAAAAUUUUAAUAUUUAUGGUUUAAUUUAGGGAUCCUGUUUUGUACUCCUUUUCUGUACCUUAUCAUUUAAACGUUUUAUUUUUUGCAAACAGGAAACAGCUCUUGCCCCUUCUGUGUGUUCUGUGGGAAUUACUGUAUUUUCCUCAAGGUCUUUUUUCCAUUGAAUAAAAUCUUAAGUAAUUUAA
ensembl:lncRNA